ACCGAGCCUCGUGCAUUGUACGAGAGUUUCCUGGUAUCCUGUAGGGAUUCUGCACUGGUGGAUGUUGGUGCUCGAGCGCACGCAAGUUCAGCCAGGACCUUCAUCGGCGUUGAACCACUAAAAACACAAAAGAAGACGCAAGGUAUAGUGAUAUACGAUUUUCCGCUAGAGGAGCCACUGUCGGCAGAUGUCUCCUUUGCAGUCUUAAAUUCUUGAAAGAAUUCUCACAUCGAAACAUGAUAUUUUCCCUCUCAUGCAAUUUGGAAUGGAAAAUACAUGAAAUCUGAAUUGCUCCUCAUACAGCAAAUAACAUUCAGCGCUUCUGAAGUGGAGAGGAUAUUAGAUCAGACAGCAGACUAGCUGAAGGUGCGGAGUGUAUCAGAUCAAUACUUGCCAUUGAGGCCAAGAAUCAUACGGAUAGCAUCGCUAAAACUUGACCACAAUCCAAGUCGAUGGAAUUUUUAUUCUAUUCGAAUAUCCAAUUGGACUGUUAAAGUUUUUAUCGAAAUAUCCAGCAACCACAAUAAACUGUGAAUACUGUCCAACAGUCGAUCGGUGUUGCAAGGACGUGUCUAGGAGUGGUUUCAAAUGUUGCAGCUAGCACCGUGGGAAUUUACCUCAGGACAGUUAUUGCUAUAACGAAAUUCCAGUUAGAUUUUAGAUCACACCGAUAUUGCUUACAAAACCCUGGCUUAGGUUAGUAAGAAAACAAACUCUAAAAUUUUAAAAUUUAUACGUCAAUUAAUGGUUUGCAAAAGUUUGAGACUGCUUGUUUCCUGAGAAAUAACCUAGAAUAAUGCAAAUUUUGAAAUCUUGAUUGACAGUUGGAUCGUGGACAGAGAAUCUAAUGGUCUAAAACUCAUAUAUCACCUGUUGAACCCAUAUCAGGUGUCAAGUUAUAAUUAAUUUCGUCAGGUAGCCUCAGCCAGUUUUGUGGUAUCUUUAUGAAUGACGAAUGUCCACAGGAUGGUGAUACCAACGAAGGAAGCAUCCUCGAGGAAUAAUCGAAGACCUCAGGUCACUUGUGAAAAUCGAAGAGAAGGUUUACACGACCAUAUCUUACAAUUGGAAUCUGUCACUUUGGGAUUGUGGUAUUUUCUAGAACGAUCAUCAGCAAUGGAUAUUCUUCUCCCUUGAAGAAGAGCAAAGGGGAGUAAGUAUAAUGACAGAGAGAAAAGGGACAAUCCAGGUCGUUCUGAGUAAAUCGAAAGGAGCCUGUCCCUGGAUCCAAGGACCAAUUUAACGCGAAUCCCUCCAGUUAAGGAACCAUUAGCGCCAUCAUUGAAGAUUUCCCAAACCGAGAUGCUUGAUCGACUGAUCCUAAUUUCCUCCACCGUGUACAUCAACCUGAUGCUCUGAGACAUUGCAAGUUCAAAGUGUCGCAGAAGGAUAUAAAAGGAUAUAAACGUAUAUAUAUACUGAAGAAAUAUUGAGAAAUUACAAAGGAAA